UACGUAGGGUGCAAGCGUUGUCCGGAAUUAUUGGGCGUAAAGAGCUCGUAGGCGGUUUGUCGCGUCUGCUGUGAAAACCCGAGGCUCAACCUCGGGCCUGCAGUGGGUACGGGCAGACUAGAGUGCGGUAGGGGGAGAUUGGAAUUCCUGGUGUAGCGGUGAAAUGCGCAGAUAUCAGAAGGAACACCGAUGGCGAAGGCAGGUCUCUGGGCAUUAACUGACGCUGAGGAGCGAAAGCAUGGGGAGCGAACAGG
rnacentral:rRNA from 1 species